ensembl:lncRNA
UGAGAGAUGAGAUGUGAGAGAUGAGAUGAGAGAGAUGAGAGAGAUGUGAGAGAUGAGAUGUGAGAGAUGAGAUGUGAGAGAUGAGAUAUGUGAGAGAUGAGAGAGAUGAGAUGUGAGAGAUGAGAGAGAUGUGAGAGAUGAUAUGAGAUGUGAGAGAUGUGAGAGAUGAGAGAGAUGUGAGAGAUGAGAUGUGAGAGAUGUGAUGUCUGAGAACUCACAAACUAGAAGGUUGUUGUAUCUCUUUUUAUAUCAUUAAAGAUGGAUUAUUAUGAUCCAAACACAGGCUUAAUUAGACUGCACAGAUUUCCUGUUUACAGUAACAGGUUCUGACAGCAGGUUGACAGGAUGGGGGCUUUCCCAGCUGAAAGUGCCUUUUACUCAUGAGUUUCGGCGUCAUUACUCCAUCUCUGGUAAUUCACGGUACAUGUGUUAACCGUGUUAGGGGACGGCGGGGUACAGGGCAGCGUGGGUCUGCUUCUGAGGGACCAGAAGGUUUUCCUCGGGGGGGUUGUUCUGUCUUGGAGGAGUGCUAAAAAAAAAAAAAGUUUGUUUUAACUAAGACAUUCCGGGUCAUUGUUUUCCCACAGAGCGCGCCGGAAUCUGUCAGGAAAAAACAAUCACCCCUCUAAAACCAAAAAAAAGAAGAGUAUUGCACGUUGAUUCAUUCUGCAUUGCAGCUAUUCUAGUGGCAUGAUUUAGAAUAGCUCCUAAUAAAGUGGCAGUAACAGACUGUCUGAUGUGAGCUGUAACUGUUUGCAUUGGAAAGAAGACACCGCUAAAUAUGAGAUGUUUGUUUUGGAGAUCACAGCUUCCUGGGUCCUUCAGCAGAGUAAACAUCACACUCGCUCUGCUCUCUCACUCCGUGCUUUGAUGUGACUUUUUCUCUAAAUU